rnacentral:rRNA from 1 species
AACGAACGCUGGCGGCAUGCCUAACACAUGCAAGUCGAACGAAGUCUUCGGACUUAGUGGCGCACGGGUGCGUAACGCGUGGGAAUCUGCCCUUGGGUGCGGAAUAACUUCUCGAAAGGGAUGCUAAUACCGCAUAAUGUCGUAAGACCAAAGAUUUAUCGCCCAAGGAUGAGCCCGCGUAAGAUUAGCUAGUUGGUGGGGUAAAAGCCUACCAAGGCGACGAUCUUUAGCUGGUCUGAGAGGAUGAUCAGCCACACUGGAACUGAAACACGGUCCAGACUCCUACGGGAGGCAGCAGUGGGGAAUCUUGCGCAAUGGACGAAAGUCUGACGCAGCCACGCCGCGUGAGUGAAGAAGGCC